ensembl:lncRNA
GGCACUCAAGUCAGAAUAAAUCAAACUUAUUAAUAUGGAAAACAUUUAUUAUGAUUUAUGUAUACAAAAAAAAAAUAUUUCAAAAUUGUAAAAUGUAAUAAAAUCAAUAGCAGUAUGACAAACACACAUUUGGCAUGCUCCCUCCCUAUACAAGUCCUCUUAGAGUGAUAAAGUUUAGGGUUUCGGUUUAUCUGCGCAUUUGACCCAAAUAUCAAUUCACAAAUGUUUAGUAUGGCUCAAAAUGACUAAACCAUGCUCUCCCAUGUUAACUGGAUUUCCUCAUCGUCAGUCCUUACCACCGCUACUAUACAGUAAAAAGUACUAACAAUAUUCUUAGCUUCUCCACUGGCUUAAUAAAUCCCAGCAUCUAAUGUGGUAAGGAGUGAACACUGAAAACCCGCCAAGAAAAAUGCUGUAGUCUCUCACAUUUCACUUGCUACAUCUGUAACAUAGAACCUGAUAAUUUGGCAGUACUGUGAAUACAUACUGACAUCAUUGACUCACAUUAAUAGUAGUACUGUGUACUAAAAGUAAUGUGUGUCUAAACCAAACAGUGCAUGAAACUAAAAGCUGUCAAGAAGCCUAAGUAAAAUCACCAGUAGUGGUGGUGGAAUUCCUAUAGAAAACACUUAGUAAGAUGACCGUCACAGUUCAAUCAUGAUUAAAAAGAGAGUCUGGAUACCCUGUCUGCAGUGGAUAUGUCAUUUCCAGGGUAUCCACUCUUGAGUUCAAUGGAAAUGCAUUAAUACAAAACCUUGUUGCAACAUUACUUCCAUGCUUUUCAGUUACCGUGACAAUUAAAAAAUGGUUAAAAAAAAAAAAUCUACCUGAAAAGCACAGCCAUGCAUUUACACUAGACACUAAUUUUGCUAAAUAUUUUUUUGGGGGGGGAGAAUUAACACUUUAUAGUCAAACACAUACAAAAAAAAAAAUUGUUCUGCCAUUUUAGACCCAAACUUGAUCCAUCUAAAGAGAACCCGAAAAAAAAUGACAAUUAUCCUAUCAAAAUAAUAUUCAAAUAAUGCAAAGCACUGCAUUCAAAUAGACAUACAAAAAUUAUGUUUCCCAGGCCAGUAUUAAAACUAUAAAAAGUCAAAGCAACAUUGCAUCUUUUUUUGUGUGUUAAAUUUGUAAUAGUCACGAUUAUUGAUCAAGUGAAAAAAAAUCUCAAUAAUCCAAAUUGCUCCUUCCCUCCAAUUUCAAUGCCAUGUUAAAAGAUAACACUGCUUGGGUAGUAUAACUACUUCAACCGCUGAGAUGCUAUAGCACAGCCAGCCACGAAGAACGGAAAAUCAACGAGGUCUAUAAGUGUUCACAUCCUGAGGUCUUAUAUAUAUAUAAAUAUAUAUACAAAAAGGGGUGCGUCACUCAAAAUGACUAAAUUACAUAUUCGUUUCCUUACCCUGUAAGCAGUCUAUGGACAAGGAACUGUAUGUAAUUUUGUAAUUUGGGUUACUAUCCCUUUAACUUGUCUACAACAAGUAGUUGUUUGGGAUGAGAGUCGAGACAACAGAUCCCCCUCCACGCAUCCAAGCAUAUUGCCAUUAGAAUAUUUUUUUCAAUUCUAUUUUGAAAGUCCAAACUGCACCCCCCCAUCUUCAUGAAAAGGCAGACUCUCACCAAUUGCAUCUCAUAUUGCUGACUUGAAGUAGCACGACUACCUUUCAUUCUAGGCACGGCCAUACAUUCAGUAGGUGCAAAAGGUAGAAAGGUUACACCUGGUUUAGUUUUAAAACAGAAACCCUACCAUUAAAUCUUAAGUCACAUUUAAAAUAUGCACACUGUAGUUCUUACAGUCUACUUGUCUUGAGAAACAUAAUUUUCAAAAAAGAUACAAAAUUCAUGAUUUAUCAUGUCAACAGCAUCAGACAACAGGUUGGAAACGUUCAGUCACUGUUUAUACCAGUACACACCUGAUUGAACGU